GAGGGUAUAGUUCAGUGGUAGAGCAUGUGCUUCGCAUGCACGAGGCCCUGGGUUCAAUCCCUGUACCUCCA
rnacentral:tRNA from 1 species